UACAGAGGUCGCAAGCGUUGUUCGGAUUCAUUGGGCGUAAAGGGUGCGUAGGUGGCGCCGUAAGUCAGGUGUGAAAUUUCGGAGCUUAACUCCGAAACUGCAUUUGAUACUGCGGUGCUUGAGGACUGGAGAGGAGACUGGAAUUCACGGUGUAGCAGUGAAAUGCGUAGAUAUCGUGAGGAAGACCAGUGGUGAAGGCGGGUCUCUGGGCAGUACCUGACACUGAGGCACGAAGGCCAGGGGAGCAAACGGG
rnacentral:rRNA from 1 species